rnacentral:SRP_RNA from 1 species
GCUGGGCGUGGUGGCACGUGUCUGUAGUCCCACCUGCUUGGGAGGCUGAGGCUGGAGGAUUGCUUGAGCCCAGGAGUUCUGGACUGUAGUGCACUGGCUGAGCAGGUGUCUGCACUAAGUUUGGCAUAUGGACACCCCUCAGGAGCGAGGGACCACUAGGUUGCCUAAGGAGGGGUGAACUGGUACAGGUCAGAAACGGAGCAGGUCAAAACUCCCGUGCUGAUCAGUAGUAGGGUCAUGCCUGUGAAUAGCCACUGCAUCCAGCCUGGGUAACAUAGAGAGAUUCUGUCUCUA